AAAGAUAAUAGUAAGUACGUUUGCAUAUCUGCCACUGCAGCAUCAUCUUACGUUGGUGGGGUAUUUGCCUACCAAGGAUUCGACGCUUACGGGGAAUUAGGGUUUGACUCCGGAGAAUGAGCAUGAGAAACAGCUCAUACAUCUAAGGAAGGCAGCAGGCGCGGAAAUUGCCCAAUGUAUUCGUUACGAGGCAGUGACAAGAAAUGAAGGGUACUUUUGUACACCAUCUAGGGCCUGUUAUAUCUAAGCUAACCGGUUAUUCGUGGGAAAGCUCGGUGCCAGCAGCCGCGGUAAUUCCGACACGGAGAGUAUUCUAUUGUGUUGCUGCAGUUAAAAAGUUCGUAGUUUAUUUUCUUUUUCACUAUAAGUAAAUCUAAGUGUUUAUAACUACUUAACUGUUUUUAUAGUAUGAAAUUAUAAUGCGGUAUUUGGCGUAGUUUGGGGUACUCGAUAGGGACAGGUGAAAUAGGAUGAUCUAUCGAAGACCAACGGUAGCGGAGGCUCCCAACGCAGUCUAAGUAUCACGAUCAAGAACUAAAGUCAGGGGAUAGACGACGAUUAGAAACCGUUUUAUUCCUGACCCUAAACGAUGUCGCCUAGCUGAUGGGGUUUUUACUUCAUUUGCCAAGAGAAAUCGUAAGGUUUCAGACUCUGGGGGAAGUAUGAUCGCAAGGUUGAAACUUGAAGGGAUUGACGGAGAGGUACCACCAGACGUGGAGUCUGCGGCUCAAUUUGACUCAACACGCAAAUCUUACUAGGCCCAGAAGCU
rnacentral:rRNA from 1 species